AACGAACGCUGGCGGCAGGCUUAACACAUGCAAGUCGAGCGCCCCGCAAGGGGAGCGGCAGACGGGUGAGUAACGCGUGGGAAUCUACCCAUCUCUAGGGGAUAACACAGAGAAAUUUGUGCUAAUACCCUAUACGUCCUCCGGGAGAAAGAUUCAUCGGGGAUGGAUGAGCCCGCGUUGGAUUAGCUAGUUGGUGGGGUAAUGGCCCACCAAGGCGACGAUCCAUAGCUGGUCUGAGAGGAUGACCAGCCACACUGGGACUGAGACACGGCCCAGACUCCUACGGGAGGCAGCAGUGGGGAAUAUUGGACAAUGGGCGCAAGCCUGAUCCAGCCAUGCCGCGUGAGUGAUGACGGCCUUAGGGUUGUAAAGCUCUUUCACCCACGACGAUAAUGACGGUAGUGGGAGAAGAAGCCCCGGCUAACUUCGUGCCAGCCGCCGCCGUAAAAC
rnacentral:rRNA from 1 species